rnacentral:rRNA from 1 species
CAAUAGCGUAUAUUUAAGUUGCUGCAGUUAAAAAGCUCGUAGUUGGAUUUCGGGUGGGAAUGGCCGGUCCGCUGUUUCGGUGUGCACUUGCUACGCCCACCUUGCUGCCGGGGACGUGCUCUUGAGUUCACGCUCGGGACACGGAGUCGGCGAGGUUACUUUGAGUAAAUUAGAGUGUUCAAAGCAGGCCUACGCUCUGAAUACAUUAGCAUGGAAUAACACGAUAGGACUCUGGCCUAUCUUGUUGGUCUGUAGGACCGGAGUAAUGAUUAAGAGGGACAGUCGGGGGCAUUCGUAUUUCAUUGUCAGAGGUGAAAUUCUUGGAUUUAUGAAAGACGAACUACUGCGAAAGCAUUUGCCAAGGAUGUUUUCAUUAA